CAGGUGGCAGUUUACAGCCAUGAAGUGCUUCAUUGAGCAAUUCAGACUUUACACCUUGCAACAGGAUUUGUACCGUCCAGCCCUGCAUUCAGAGCAGGGGUGCCAGGGACUGUGGUGGAGCAAGGGCGUUUCAGUUCCUUUGAGGCACAGAGUUAAAUGCACCUAAUGACAAUUUCUGUCUUUGCUAGAUUCAGAAACAUUCUGCAUCUUCCCUCUGUUCCAUCUGGCUUGCUGGCAGCAUGGUGGGAGAUACACACUAAAGCCCAUGUGUAGGUUGAAUUCCAUCUCCUCCACAGGUAUAGUGCAACGGGAUUCAGGGGUAGCACAGUUUUGGGGUUUCAGUGUUUCACCUCCUCCCGGUUCUGCCAAAACUUGCUUUGGCAAAUUGCUGAUACGCAUGCAAAUUCCCUUUCUCUGUAGUCACAAUUUAGGGAUAAUCUUCCCAAGAACCUUACAAAACUUCUAAAAAAUGAAGACCUGUGGUCCCAUUAGUUUUUUGGUUCAGAGGAAAUGGUUCAUUCUCAGAGUGAAUUCUCUGCCUGCUGCUGCUUACCCUGUAUUUAAAUUAUUUGCUGAUGAAGACAACUAUGAAACUCAAGUGUAAAGACAUCAGACCCCACAACCUUCUUCAGUAACCAUGAGAAGGGCUUUGGUUUAUAAGCCAAUGGGAGUAGUUUCAAGCCUCACUGACAAUUACAGAAGGGAAGUUUUCCAAAUUUGAGAAACUAACUUGGAGUUUCUGUCAUAGUAGCCAGGGUUUAGCACAAAGCAUGGGCAUGUAAGAAUGUUCCCAGUAAACACAGCAGCAGAACUGUGUCAUGCUGAGAAAUAUCAAAUACGUGGAAGAAAACAACAGACAGAAAACAAAGUUUCUGAACAUGAAACAAAUGGCCAAAAGCAUACACCAUCUGGAAUUGGGCAAUAUAGGGAAACAUAAUCAAGAGACAUGGAUGAAAUGACUGUAAAGGCAAAAGCCUUUCCUGCAUUUGUUUAGUACUAGAUCAGAUUAAUUUGAACAAUUUGAAUAAUAAUAAAAAAAAGCCUUGCAUUUGUGAUGGAUCGGUGUAAUGGAAAAUCUAAAUAACUAGGAUCCUGUAGAACCAGUCUCAGCCUUCAAAUAAACUUCUAACCCUCCCACCCACUUUCUCUGGAAAAGCACAGAACCUGCCAGGAAAAAAAGCCUGGUCUUAAAGUUCAACUACUCAUUCCUUUCCUCACUUGCAGGAGUGCAGUUAGGAGUAAGAACCUUCAGAUUCUGAACCAACAGUUUUCUGUCCUUAGAGAAAAAUUCUUGGCUAGUGAGAAUAGUUUUAAUUUUCAAGUUGGCUGUAAGAGAAAUUUCAGCUGCUUAGAAUCUGAAGUACACCAGCUGUUAGAACUGACAUUACAGAUCACAGUCCACAUGACUUUCCUGAUGUAAUCUAUUUUGAUAUGUUUUAUCUAGUCAUUAUUAAUAUUGGAAAGAGGUGAAAAGGUAAAGAUUACUGGUUUUGCCCUUAGGGGCUGCAUGCUGGAGGGCAGGGAAGGAGGAUGUAGUUGGAGCUGAGACAGCACAGUCUAAUAUAAACCUUCCCUGGUGCAACUUGAGGCCAUUUCCUCUGGUCCUUCCUCUCCUUUGCUUUAAAUCACAGAACCAGAUGUUGGUGUUUGAAAGUGUCCUGCAGGAGAGGUACUGGACCUGCUGGGACUUUGGAUGACCAAUUUGCUGUGAAACCAGGAGCCAGGGAGACCCAUCCCACUGCAAACAGAGCUGCCAAAUGAUGCCAGAAGCUGCAAAUACCAACCAAGCUGUUGUGGACCAGGCUGAGAUGCCUAAAGGCAAUACCCUGCUGAGUCAGACGUGAACCUCCAUCCGGAAUUUACCCAGUCUUCCUGUGGCAUUGUCUCCUGGCAAUCACAGCCUCACAGUUACUGCCUUGCUACCUUCCCUGUCAGAGAUUCCCCUUAAACUGUGAUUAACUUCUUGAGGCUUGUAAAUUUUCUUCUGCAUUUACACAAGGACAGCUGGCUGGAUUAAAUGGUUUCAUAAAAAGAGGUAUUACAUUUCUUGGGACUUUGCUUUGUUUCAAAAGGCAGUAGGGAAAAAACCAAUUUACUCGUUUUGGAUUUCAUGGCUGCAUCACUAAUGUCAGGGUGUCCAAAAUAUAGCAUUUAGAAAAGAAGCCACUCAGGCUUUGGAAGUGAGAUGUAAACUAAUUGGAACGUGAGGAAAAAAAUUGAUACUGAACAUGGGAAUAAAAAGGGAGAAAGCAAACCCAGGGCUGUAUGUUGAGGUGUGUGGUACCAAAAAAAAUCAAUGUUCUCUCCUGCAAUGUAGGAUUACAUUUCUCAGAGGAAGGCAGGGGAAACAUGGCUAAAAGGAGCCAACUUUAUUUCCCUUCUUUCUCAGAAGAAAACAAGUAUGAACCUGCUUGGAUUAGAGAGAAUUAUGGGCUGCCUAUUUGGGAAUUCAUGAUUGGGACUUCAUGAUGAUGCAGCUGGGUAAGUGAUCUCGCUGCAGUUAUUUGGUAGGAAACCUUUUGAUAGCAUCUAAAAUGGUUUGGGUGUCAGUCAGUCCCUUCAUUGAGUGCUGGAGUUCUUCCUUCACGGGUUAAAACAGGGGAAGGGAACGCUCCCAUCAGAUGGUGUGAGCUGUCUGUGCCACCAUGCCCUCUUCUCCCUAGGUCCUCACUGCAGCCCUUGUCUUUGCCUUUGCUGCAGCUCCAUGUCCUCUGCAAGACACCAGCUGUGCCCAGUUACUCUGUGGGUUGGAUCUGGUGAGUGCAGCAUUGAUGCCAGGAAAGAUAUUUCUGCUGUGCCUGUGUCAACCCGCCAGAGGCUCUGAUCCUGGUCUCCAGAAGCUGGGCAGUCACCUGUGCUGGGGCUUUGUCUCAGAGCCUGCAUCAGGGCUGUCGGGAGAUACAGGCUCAUAGUGCCCUGUGUCCUGGCACUGCAGCAAGAGAGAGGUUAAUAAUGCCACAUGCCUGCUGUUGCCUUUAGCUGUACACUGGUGUAUUUCUGCAGGAGGAUGAGAGCUGUGUCAGCAGCAUUUCCCAGGGGAUGGGGGAAGGAUUUUCAGCCCUGUAGAGUGGAUCCCUGCAUGAACCAACAGCUCCCUCUGCCUCUGAAGAGAGCAGGGCCAGCAGCCUGCUUCGGUCAGACCCUGCUAGGAUGGAGGAGGGUGGCUUGUCUGAAGUGCUGAGGUGGCUGGCUUACUUCUGUGCUGGGCUGUGUGCCAGUGUGAUCCCCUCUCCACACCCUGGGCUGCUCCACAUAUAUCCUCUUGGAGUAAGAAAUGCAGGCAGCCAGUUGAGAGCCAAGUGUGAGUUGGGAAUGAUGGCUCCAAGCUGAGCUUACUGGUGAUAGUUGGAUAUUGUGCUGGAAAACAGAGGGGAGCUCAUGGGGCACAGAGAGUGUUGGCAAGGGAAGAGGGUCUUGUUGGUCCCUGAGGGAGCAGAGAUGGGUAUGUAUGUACAAGCCCAGGAAAGGAGGGGGCAGUGAUAUAAACUCCGUACCUCCUCUGAGUGGUGUGAAUUUCAGCUUCUGGGCUUCCUUUUUAAAAGCGUGGCUCUCCCCUGAGGGAGAUGGCUGAUGCUUCAUUUUGUGGUUGGCUUGCAAGCCUUCUUUAAGCUCCAUCCUCGAGAAGAAGCUUGGAAGAGACUUGGUCCUCCCUCCACUUUCCUGUCUCAGCUGCACCCGUGUACUGGGCAGGGAGCUCUGUGCGAGGGGGGCGUCUGUCUGAGGACUUUUCCAUCCUGAAGCAUGGUGAGGCCCAGGACUGAGUCAGAAAGCAGUCUUUUCUGUCCUGCAGGGCACCCUCAACUGUGUGUGUCAGCUUGCAAAGUCUGUACACCCAUACUGAUUUUAAUUUCCAGUCCAUGGCUGUUCCAAGUGGGCAGUUUGCCAGGGAUUCCUGGUGUCUGUAGCCAUUGAGAGCCAUGGUUGUGGCGAAGAAGCUACGGGACAGGCUGGCUGUGGCCUCCCUCUGCUCAGCUGCCAGCAGUCUGGCUGGUAGUGCCCACCCACAGUGGUAUCUCCCCACGGGCUGCCUGGGGAUGCCAUGUGUUCCUAUCCCUCACAGUUCUGUUAGCUAGAAAAAGUAAUAAUCUGCAGUGUUCACCUUCCCUGCCAUCAGAAAUUAAGCAGCUUUGUCAGAACAUGUGUGUUUGCAAAAAGCCAGAGCCCCCCCAAGGGCUUUGUAUGCAAAAGCCGAGAGAAUCCAGUGCAGCUGUAUUUUGCAGGGAGCAGCGGAGCCCUUCUGCUUGAUCCACAGGGUCUCUGCAGUUCCCCUUUCAUGGGGCUGCGUCAGUUCUUUCCCGCUGCAGGGGAGGGUUUUGACUGGGUGUUUCAGGCCCUGGCCAAGAGGCUUUGCUUCCCUCCGGGCUGGGAGCAGGUUUUGCAGGGGUUACCUAGGCUCUGCCUAUUGUGACAGGUGCUGAAGGGAGGCUGAGGAGCCUGUCUGAGGCAGGGACAGAGCUGGGGCCCUCUGGUUGCUGGGCUGCUCCAGCCUGGGUAGCUGAAGUUAGCAUCUGCAGACUGUCCUGGGGUGCUCUUACCACGUGGUGACCUCUUCAGUGCAGUGAUUUGGAAUUUCUGCAGGGAUAAACUGUGUUGCUGUGUGUGCUGGUGUAGUUGCCCUCCUGGAUAUGUCCAGCCUGGAGUCUGGCAACAGCUGGUGGAGAUUUGUUUGGAGUUGAAUUAAGGGAGUUAACGUGUGGGACUUGGAAUGUGGGAAAAGGAGCUGAGAAAAAAGACGUUUUGGAGUCAAGGCAUGUGCAUAAAAAAUUCCAGCGUAUGUUUCUCCCUGUCCAGUAUGUUUGAGCUGCCCUAUCCCAGGCUUCUCCUGUACUGUGAACUCUCCUUUACUUUGGAGUGAACCAGUCCAGGCGAAAAAAACAAACCUGCCUAAACUUUAUGCAGCAUCUAGAAGAUCUUGAUGGGUCUUAAUCCAGAUGAGAAAAUAGAGUGAAGUAACUAUUUCACCAUGUCCACCUGGUGUAAUGGUGGCAAGUAAGCUGAGCUUUGCUGACCCGAGGCUGGUGAAGGAAAGCAGAGACUGGGAAGAGCUGCAGGUCCUAUCUUCCCCGGCUGGCCUGACCUCAGAGCUCUGUGUUUCUCUGUCAGUUAAUGCCCAGCUCAUCUCUGGAGCAGCACGGGGAGCAAAAGGGGAAAUGAAUUGGCCCACAGGUAGUGUGUAACUGCCAGGUUCAAGUUUGGAGGGAGGAGGAUGAGCUGAGGUCAUGCUCAUGCUGAAGGCACCAGAGGGUGAUGUGCUGUGUACCAGGGGUGAAUUUUAUUGCAUGUGUUUGUGUUUUGUUGCUCAGCCCUUAGAAGAGAUCAUAUGAUGAGAAUCAGGCAUUCCCUUACAGCCCUUUCCAGUGGCACAGGGUGAGCCUUGCCCGAAGGCUGCUGUUACGCAGGGACACAGUGCACAUGCACCACCGGGUGAGGUGCAUUAAUGACCUUCUCAGGUCAAGUUAAGCAGGCAGGUCUAGUUAUUCAGGCAGAAACCUUUUUGUUUGAGAGGAAGUGUGGGUAAGAGUAAUAGAUGACAUGUUCUUUUCAGAUAAUUUAUUUCACAUUUUCAGUCCUGUGGCAUUUGCGCAAGGCUCAGCAUUGGAGGUGUCCUGGACAAUUCUUACUGAAAUACCAGUGAUGCUUACUAUGAAGCAGGAAUUAAUCUCCAUAUAUCCGAUUUGAAGGUGCUCUUGUCUGCCAUUUUACACAACUUCAGUUUUCCACCAUGGUCUUGACAGCCAGACACAAGUCCUCUUUUCCUGGUUGCAGAAGCAUCUUUGGCCUUGAUAUAAACAUGAGGGAUUUGAGCAAAGCUCAGAAAGGCCUGACCUCGUGUUAGACCAAUGCCAGCCCUUGCACAAGGGCACUGGGCAUUUGCUUGGAAGGGAUGGAGGGUCAUGGAGGCUGUCAUUGGAGAGAGGAUGGGAAAGCCACAGUUGCAUGACAAUCCAGGUGCUGGGUAACAUGGGCAAGUCUCGGGAGGUGGUGGGGGGAGGUAGCAACAUCAGCUCUGAAAUAAGUGCUCAGGGACCAGCAAACUCAUCUCCAUACAGGAGAGUUUGUUCCUGUUGCCCAUCAGGUUAACCAGUGCCAUCAAGUGCUUCCAGGAGGCCCUUUCAAAGUCGCAGUUGUGACCUGAGUGUGAGACCCAGUGGUUGGGAUUUUCUUGCUUUGAACACAAUAAUCCUGGCAAUGUCCUUCCCCAGCCCUGGUAGUAAGGGGAAAAGAGAAGCCAAAGGACUUAUUUCUGUUUGCCCCUGUAGUUAUCCUUCAGCUUUUAAGGUAGAACUGCUCUUUGUGCAGUGCCAGCAGUGGUACUUUAGGUGAGAGGGCGUUAGCUCUUAGCCGUUGGCUUUUGCAAAGAGAAAACCGGUGUGUUUGGUUGGAAAAGCCCUUGCACCAAGGGAAACUGGAGCCUCAUAGGUCUGAAGAUCAAGCUUUGCCCUUGCAGACUCUUGAGGGCCUUCGGAGGUUGUUGGUGGCCAUUUCUUGUGGCCAGGGGCCAUCUAGCGAGUCCUGCAGGUAUUG